rnacentral:rRNA from 1 species
UUGAACGCUGGCGGCAGGCCUAACCCAUGCAAGUCGAACGGUAACAGGGAACAGCUUGCUGUUUCGCUGACGAGUGGCGGACGGGUGAGUAAUGUCUGGGAAACUGCCUGAUGGAGGGGGAUAACUACUGGAAACGGUAGCUAAUACCGCAUAACGUCGCAAGACCAAAGAGGGGGACCCUCGGGCCUCUUGCCAUCGGAUGUGCCCAGAUGGGAUUAGCUUGUUGGUGGGGUAACGGCUCACCAAGGCGACGAUCCCUAGCUGGUCUGAGAGGAUGACCAGCCACACUGGAACUGAGACACGGUCCAGACUCCUACGGGAGGCAGCAGUGGGGAAUAUUGCACAAUGGGCGCAAGCCUGAUGCAGCCAUGCCGCGUGUAUGAAGAAGGCCUUCGGGUUGUAAAGUACUUUCAGCGGGGAGGAAGGGAGUAAAGUUAAUACCUUUGCUCAUUGACGUUACCCGCAGAAGAAGCACCGGCUAACUCCGU